UACGGGGGGGGUAAGCGUUGUUCGGAAUUACUGGGCGUAAAGGGCUCGUAGGCGGCCAACUAAGUCAGACGUGAAAUCCCUCAGCUUAACUGGGGAACUGCGUCUGAUACUGGAUGGCUUGAGUUUGGGAGAGGGAUGCGGAAUUCCAGGUGUAGCGGUGAAAUGCGUAGAUAUCGGGAGGAACACCAGUGGCGAAGGCGACUUCCUGGCCUGUUCUUGACGCUGAGGCGCGAAAGCUAGGGGAGCAAACGGG
rnacentral:rRNA from 1 species